rnacentral:lncRNA from 1 species
CUCAGUAACAGCUGCAAUGCAGUAGGAGAUACAGAUACAGGAUAUGAUAUGGAAAGGAUGUUUCAAUAGCUGCCAGCUUAGUUUAUUCAGUCCAGGUGCUGAGAACCAGUUGGAUCUUUCUGCGUCUUCCCAGGGGAGUUAGCAUUUGAAGACCUCACACCAAAGCCCUGAAUGCUUCAACAAAAGAAACCUUGGAGAGGAACAUAUUUUACCUACACAGAAAGACUGAACACUGCUGAAGGUGGAUCUUGUCUCCCAGAUGACUUUCUGAAAGCUACAUGUCGUUGCAAUUCAGGAACUCUAUCCAGGAUUACAGCCAUUAGUUUCUAGAUGCCAGCUGAAAG